GAUGAACGCUGGCGGCGUGCCUAAUACAUGCAAGUCGAGCGAACGGACGAGAAGCUUGCUUCUCUGAUGUUAGCGGCGGACGGGUGAGUAACACGUGGAUAACCUACCUAUAAGACUGGGAUAACUUCGGGAAACCGGAGCUAAUACCGGAUGAUAUUUUGAACCGCAUGGUUCAAAAGUGAAAGACGGUCCUGCUGUCACUUAUAGAUGGAUCCGCGCUGCAUUAGCUAGUUGGUAAGGUAACGGCUUACCAAGGCAACGAUGCAUAGCCGACCUGAGAGGGUGAUCGGCCACACUGGAACUGAGACACGGUCCAGACUCCUACGGGAGGCAGCAGUAGGGAAUCUUCCGCAAUGGGGGAAAGCCUGACGGAGCAACGCCGCGUGAGUGAUGAAGGUCUUCGGAUCGUAAAACUCUGUUAUUAGGGAAGAACAUAUGUGUAAGUAACUGUGCACAUCUUGACGGUACCUAAUCAGAAAGCCACGGCUAACUACGUG
rnacentral:rRNA from 1 species